rnacentral:rRNA from 1 species
AACGAACGCUGGCGGCAUGCCUAACACAUGCAAGUCGAACGAGACCUUCGGGUCUAGUUGCGCACGGGUGCGUAACGCGUGGGAACCUGCCCUUAGGUUCGGAAUAACUCCCCGAAAGGGGUGCUAAUACCGGAUAAUGUCUUCGGACCAAAGAUUUAUCGCCUUUGGAUGGGCCGGCGUUGGAUUGGCUAGUUGGUAGGGUAAAAGCCUACCAAGGCGACGAUCCAUAGCUGGUCUGAGAGGAUGAUCAGCCACACUGGGACUGAGACACGGCCCAGACUCCUACGGGAGGCAGCAGUGGGGAAUAUUGGACAAUGGGCGAAAGCCUGAUCCAGCAAUGCCGCGUGAGUGAUGAAGGCCUUAGGGUUGUAAAGCUCUUUUACCCGGGAUGAUAAUGACAGUACCGGGAGAAUAAGCUCCGGCUAACUCCGUG